rnacentral:rRNA from 1 species
CCUGGCUCAGGAUGAACGCUGGCGGCGUGCCUAACACAUGCAAGUCGAACGGACUUACAUUGAAGCCUAGCGAUAUGUAAGUUAGUGGCGGACGGGUGAGUAACGCGUGGGUAACCUGCCUUGUACUGGGGGACAACAGUUGGAAACGACUGCUAAUACCGCAUAAGCGCACAGCUUCGCAUGAAGCAGUGUGAAAAACUCCGGUGGUACAAGAUGGACCCGCGUCUGAUUAGCUGGUUGGUGAGGUAACGGCCCACCAAGGCGACGAUCAGUAGCCGGCCUGAGAGGGUGAACGGCCACAUUGGGACUGAGACACGGCCCAAACUCCUACGGGAGGCAGCAGUGGGGAAUAUUGCACAAUGGGGGAAACCCUGAUGCAGCAACGCCGCGUGAGUGAAGAAGUAUUUCGGUAUGUAAAGCUCUAUCAGCAGGAAAGAAAAUGACGGUACCUGACUAAGAAGCCCCGGCUAACUACGUGCCAGCAGCCGCGGUAAUACGUAGGGGGCAAGCGUUAUCCGGAUUUACUGGGUGUAAAGGCAGCGUAGACGGUUUUGCAAGUCUGAAGUGAAAGCCCGGCGCUUAACCCCGGGACUGCUUAGGAUACUGUAGGACUAGAGUGCAGGAGAGGUAAGUGGAAUUCCUAGUGUAGCGGUGAAAUGCGUAGAUAUUAGGAGGAACACCAUUGGCGAAGGCGGCUUACUGGACUGUAACUGACGUUGAGGCUCGAAAGCGUGGGGAGCAAACAAGAUUAGAUACCCUGGUAGUGCACGCCGUAAACGAUGAUUACUAGGUGUUGGUGGGUAUGAACCAUCGGUGCCGCAGCAUACGCAAUAAGUAAUCCACCUGGGGAGUACGUUCGCAAGAAUGAAACUCAAAGGAAUUGACGGGGACCCGCACAAGCGGUGGAGCAUGUGGUUUAAUUCGAAGCAACGCGAAGAACCCUACCUGGUCGUGACAUCCCUACGAAUAACGGGCAAUGCCGCUAGUACUUCGGUACAUAGGAGACAGGUGGUGCAUGGUUGUCGUCAGCUCGCGUCGUGAGAUGUCGGGUUAAGUCCCGCAACGAGCGCAACCCUUAUCUUUAGUAGCCAGCAGUAAGAUGGGCACUCUAGAGAGACUGCCGGGGAUAACCCGGAGGAAGGUGGGGAUGACGUCAAAUCAUCAUGCCCCUUAUGACCAGGGCUACACACGUGCUACAAUGGCGUAAACAAAGAGAAGCGAAGUCGUGAGGCAGAGCGAAUCUCAAAAAU